AGAGCAUGCCAGCUCAUUAUCUAACUCUCUCUUCAGUGACUUCAGGGAAAACAGCAGCAGUUAAGCAAUGUUUGCCAAAAGUGGAUCUGGGGACGGGUGUUGAUUUUAAAAGAGAAGGAAAGAAGAGCUGAUUGCUCACUGCAGGUCCUCCUGGCUCGGCGGCGUGGAGGCAGAGGCCUGCUUCUGCAAAGACUCUGUGAAGACCCACGACUCUUCCUCAACCUCCCAGAUGCUGGGGUCCCUGGUAUUUGAAUACACUAAGUGCCAUGUGCCUGCAGCUCCCCAAGUCUGGAGACAGAAGAAUGGAUAAACAUUCCUCAAAUGCUGUGGAUAGGUUCUCACCCUAGAGCGCGGGCAGUCUGCUCAUGCCUCAGCGUGCAGGUCCCAUCAGGCACCCAAGGGGAGCCGUCAAUUAGAGCCGUGCUUGAGCCUAAGGCUGACCUGAACCGUUUGAAGGCAGAUCUUCCAUGGAACGCCCCGGUCCUUUUCUGGAAUGGUCAAAGGGACGAGAGGGGUCUCUGCAGUGUCCUGCAUCUGGUUUCAACCUCACCUUCUCCAUGUAUGAGAAGACAAGUCACUUGGAUUCACUGUGCCUCUGUUUCCCCAGGUGGUGAGAAGGACUCAGACUUUCGCACCUGGUCCCUCAGAGGAUGAGUUUCCGUGUUGGCCAUCACCGCCACCGCAUUGCCAUCAUCAUUGUCCUCAUCGCCUCCACAGGCUGAGCUUCCUAGUUCAAAAGCAAAAUGCCUUUAACAAGAGUACGACAGGUCUAAGAUGCCACCUUUGGGGACAGUGGGAGUUUGGGAUUAUUUCUGUUUUCUAAUUAUUCAGUCCCCUCCCACUAAUUGUGAAGCAUAGAGCCAUUGGGCUGAGAUGGAUUUGAUUCACCACAUGCCCCUCAAAUCCUUUCUGGAACAAGAUUGGAUGCAAAAAUUAAUAUCAGUACAUUUUCCGCAUGUGCAGCCCAACCCAGAGCUCCUGCCACUGGCUUCGUUCUUUAAAGCUCGUGGAGCCCGGGCAGCGCCAUUAGGAAAACGUCAAAGAGAAGAGCCGGCUCCGGCCCGGGCUGCACCGGCGCGGUCGAGUGAGCUGUUCAACUCACAGCACGUCGACACUUCGCUCAUCUCUUAGUGGUUUUCUGAAGGUCGCUGAUUCUGGCAGGGAGUGUGGAAAACGGAUGUGGCUGGGAGAUGCCCUCUCUCAGGCUGGGAGAGACUGGCAGAACGGCCUGCCAAUGAGAGCAGUGCCAUCCACGCCUUUCUGAGCACACCGUAAGCCUCAGGCACAUGAGAGGUGCUCCUGUGUCUCCUGGGUUGCUUAUGACCAUCGUGACAGGCAGCCACCACCUUCCCACUUCACUGGUGGAGGAAGUGUGGUGUGGGCAGAUGCAACUGCAGUUUGUAUCCAGGGUAGGACAGUGGCUGAGCUGCAGGCUGGACUUCUGUCAGCAUUACCAUGGGCUGAACUGUAUUCCUCCCCCAAGAUUUAUAUGUUACGGUCCUACUCACCCCCCACACUGGCCCAGGACCUUGGAAUGUCACCUCACUGAGAAGUAAAGUAGUUGCGGAGGUAAUGAGUUAGGAUGAAGCCACACUGGAACACGGUAGGACAGGUCCUUAUCCAAAGGGGACAUCUGGAGACAGACACACACCCAGGGUGGGUGCCACAGGAAGAUGGAGGCAGAGGUCAGCGAGGUGCUUCUCCAUGCCACCAAGUCAGAAGCCGGGAGAGGCCUGCGACAAACCCUCCCUCACGGUCUCAGAAAGAAGCAGCCCCGGCGACACCUUGAGCUGGGCCUUGCAGCCUCCAGGACUGUGGGCGAUACCCGUCGGUGGUGUAAGGCACGUGGUCUGCGGUGCUUUGUGAGUGAGGCCGUCCCUGGGAUACUAACACAAAUGUCCCACCAGACCUGUGCCCUGUCACUGUGUUUCCUUGAGCUUCAGUGGAGCAACAAGAAGACUUUGGAGGCCACUCUGACUCUUCUGCAGGGCAAGGAUGGAGAAGACGCAGGCCCGGCCUCCAGGGUCCCAAGGUGCUGAGAGUGGCCCCUUGGGUGAUUGCCGGUGGCUGUUUCCUCCUCCUCUUGGUCAAGGCAUGUUUCCUGUUUCUGCACUCGCACAUGGGCUGAGACUUCUCAAGAGCGGAGACUCCCUUGGCACUGCCAUCUGUGGCCACGGGAGGGAUCGGGGUGGCCCAGCGGCCAUGCAGAGGGUGCACGGUGCUGGAGAAGCCAUAGAGGGGAACCCACUUGUGAGACUGUUGAACAUGUUUACUUUUGGAUAAUGUGUUGUUUGCUUGUUUUUCCAGAAAACUUUUCUCUUACUAGAACCAAGUCAACAAGAGCCACCCUUGGACUCUGGAUGCCUGGGAGGCUCUGGAUCUGCGGGGCAGAGGAGAAGGUGGAGCCCUCAUCUCACUUCAUGCUUCAAAGCCUGCUUUCCAUCUCUGAAGCUAGAAUGUUCCUGAUGCACACAUGUGGGUCUAGGGUGCCUGCCUUAGCGACACACUGCAUGAGUGGUGUGGUCCAAGAUGACUGAUUUUAAAAAGAGCCGCGCCUCCCGAUGCCGACGAUCUCACGGUGAGAAUGUGCCGACGGAGCCGAUGGCAGUCUUCAGGCAGAGUUCCCGUGACUCUGUGCUGAGGUUUCCACGUGGACCCUGAAUUACUUGAAAUGCAGCCACCUGAACUGACAAGGAUGCAACAGCAGUUCCAUGGAGAAAUAGUAAGCAGCCAGUUCCACCAGUGGUGCUGGAGAAAUUGGACAUCAAUAUGGAAGAACAAAAUGAGCCUUGGCCUGGCGAGGUGGCCCACGCCUGCAAUCCCAGCACCUCGGGAGGUGGAGACGGGCAGAUCAUGAGACCAUCCUGGCCAACAGGGUGAAACCCUGUCUUUACUAAAAAUGCAAAAAUUAGCUGGGUGCAGUGGUGAGCACCCGUAGUCCCAGCUACUCGGGAGGCUGAGGCAGGAGAAUCGCUUGAACCUGGGAGGUGGAGUUUGCAGUAAGCUGAGAUCACGACACUGUACUCCAGCCUGGUGACAGAGCAAGACUUCGUUCCCCCCCACAAAAAAACCUGCACCUAAACUUCACUCCUCAUAUACUAAGAGUGUGUGUCUGUGUUCUUUUCAAACACCUAUGGAAUAUUUACAAAAAUCCUCUUAGGAAGAAAAUCUCAGUCCCCAACGCAGAAUUCACUAGGCUAAUUUCUCUGACUUUGGUGGAAGACAAUUAGAAAUUAGUAUUCAAGAAAGUGAGCUCUGAGAGGCAGAGGGUUGCCGUUAUUUUUCACGGCUGUAGCCCCACAGCCUAGAAGGGUGCCUGGCGUCGGUUUUUGAAUUAGUGAAAACAUGAUGAGGCAUAUGGGUUAGAAUGCAUCCAGUAAAAAUUAGCAGAGAAACUAAAGUAAUGGUAUUUCUUGUUCGUUGCGUGUCUAGAGCUGCGUUUUCCAGGCUCUGUCUAACAUCCUCACGGAGACUCCAAGCCCGUUCCUCCUGCGUUGGAUUCUCGUCGCCUCGGUCUCUUGGUCCCGAGAUGGCGGUGAUGAUUGUGAUGUAUUGAUCACUGACUGUUAUGAUGGUAACGCUGUUGCAUUUGUGCCAACUGUGGUCGAAGCCGCUUACAUAUUGUUAUGCCUUACAACACAUUCCAUGCUCAUAUUUGUCCAUGAGGGACGUGUCAUUUUUCCUCAUCUACAGAUGGGAAAACUGAGGCAUAGAGCGACUCAGCAACUUGUCCGAAGUCACAGAGCUGGUCGUUGUAGAUGCGGGAGCGAAGCUUGGGCAAGCACCUAGUUUUUUCCUACUUCCUAAGUUUGAUAGUAACUGCAGGUGCUGUAUUUUCACAGUCAAAGCAGGAAGAAAGAGGCCACGCGAGGCCACGCGCCCACACCGCCAUCACAGGGGAGGCUGGGAAAUCCGGUAUCUGACAGAAGGAGCCAGCGUUCCACCUUAGAGGAAGCAGGAGCUUGGCCUGAGAGCAGGACGCACUGCCACGCUGAACAGAGGGGCUGCUCCCUGAAACAGGGAAGGAGGCAGGGACCGCAAAUGAUAUCUGUCUCUGCCAUAGUAAAAAAGAAUCCACCUACUUGCACAUUAAAAAAAAUUCUAGAUAAUGGGUUAAAAAAAUGAGAAACUAUUUAGAAAUAAUUGGGAAUGGAUUAACUAAAAUUCGGAAGAGGAAAAAAGAUCUAAAGAAGGAAAAAAUAAUCUAAAGAGAAGGAUAACCCAUAGAAAAAAGAAGGAAGGGGAAAUCAGAGGCCUGCAGGCCCACACUGCUUUGCAGGCAGAGUCUACAUUUCUGAGGCAUGAUGACAUUCAUAUUAUUAUGAAUAUUAUGCUUAUAAAAGCUCUUCCACAGAAUAUAAAAAGAUGAUCUCCAACUCAUUCAGUAAAGCUAGUGUUUCCCUGACCCCAAAUCCAGACCUCACCAGUGCAGAAAAUAUAUGGGACACCCCACUUGCACUAAUGACACAAAAAAUUCCAACUAAAACAUGAAUAAAUACAAUAAUGCGAGGUACUAGAAGAUCACGUUUCCUAGGAAUUAAAAGAUGGUUCGAGGUUAGGGAACCUAUUGGUGCAAUUUCCUGCAAUAACCGCUAACAGACGGUGAUGCUAUGAUCUAUCACCUCAAUAAAAGCAGCAGACAGUGUGUUCCUGCUCCGUCCUCUGCCUGACCUGCCGAGGUCUUCUUGCAGGGAUUAGAAUCUGGAAGCUCCAUUUCCCAGGCCUCCUUGCCAUGGUUCCAGUUUCGUCUCUACCACUGAGAGGUACUCAUUGGUUUGUCAAAAGGGGAAGAAGGCCGGACUGGAGAUGUGAGUGCUGUGGGACGGGUCACAGGCUGCCUGGCCCUGCUUCUGCACCGUUCACAGAAGACCAUCACGGAAAUCCUCCUCCUGGAGUGCGCUACGUGCAUGCUCCUCCUUGGGGCGGGGAGGGGCUCUGCAAUAGAAGAGAAUGAGCAUCAUCUUUUCAAAGUAUUAGGUACCAAGGGUUCCCCCCGGAACAGGUAAGUUCCCCUCUGCUGGAUGAAAUAACAUAAGAAAUGGAGAGAAUCCACUUUCACAGAUUCUAACGCAGAUACUGUUUACGUGUGUGUGUGCAGAGCAGUUCUUCUAUUUUUCUGUACAAGAUGUGGCACCAUAAAUGCUGAGUUUCUUGGGGCUACGGAAAACAUUUCUGGAGCGGUGUCUCACUCGUUUACAUAGGUUAGUGACUUGCAGGCAUUCUUUGCUCUGUGCCAAAUGCCUCUGUAUUAACUGGUUGAAACGAAGCAGGUGAGACCUGGCAGGCUUCAGGUCUCUGCAGGCGGUAAUAGAUGCUCUCAGUGACUGAGAUUGAGCAUCUUUACGACAAGUGUCCCGCAAGCUGCUUUAUGAAUGUCAUCUAAUUUAGUCUUCGCUGUGGAUUGAUUUAUUCAGUGAAUUUUGAGGGGGAACUCCUAUGCAAAAAACACCGAGUUAAGGCCAGAGGAUGAAGCCAUUAAUAAACCACAUGUGGUCUCUGCCCUCAUGGAACUUGCAAUGUGUCAGAGAAGCAUCUAUGGAAACAUUUAUGAUUGGGGUCAAAACGAGGUAGGGGGCUCCAAGGAGCGAAAGGGAAGCGCGGGACGGUGGGCAUGGGGCCGCCCUCAGGAUUCCUGGAAGUAGAUGGUAGCGGGCUGACUGGGGGAGGAAGCCAGAACAGAAAGAACUAUUGUACCAGCAGCGAGUCCUACUCGAGCCCCAUCUUUCUUCUUUUCCCUCCAGUAUCUUCCAAUUUGACCUCAAAGGCAGUUGAAAACCUGGAAUUAGAUAUUGAGUAUGAAACGGAAAAAUCCCAAGGCAAGCCCUCUAUUUCCAGCCUGAAAAACAGAAAAAACCUGCAGGCCCCACCGGUCAGAGGGAGUGGAGGAAAUGCUUUUCCGUCUUUUGUUGGUGAUUGUCCUUUCUCGUCCUUGUGUGUGAACAAUGGCUCUGACAACCGCGGGUUUCUUUCACAGGCCCAUGAGUCGGUGGCAGUGGGAUGCCGUUUGUUAAUUGCUGAAAGAGAACUGUCAACACAGAAUUCUUUACCCCGAAAAUUUCCUUCAGGAAUGAAGACGAAAUAAAGACAUUUGCAGAUGAAGGAAAACGAAGAGAAAUUCUCCCCAGCAAACCCACUUGCUUAUUUGAUUUUGGUACCUAUCGUUAACCCUCAUAAAUAAAAUCUGCCUUUGUGAUAUUA